rnacentral:rRNA from 1 species
UGGGUGUGUAAGUGCAGCGAUGCAUUGAGCUAACCAGUACUAAUGACCCGUGAGGCUUAACCUUACAACACCGAAGGUGUU